rnacentral:misc_RNA from 1 species
CAACCCUUAAGCCUAGCUUAGUAUUGGGAGUCUAGCCGCAAGGUUAGUUCCUCAAAUCCAACGGCGGAUCUGUGGUAUCCUCUGAGCGUAGUAAAUCUUUUUCUCGCUUUUGUUAGGUGCCGCUGCUCUCAGCCGCUAAACCCCCCAAUUUUUUGUGG